AUUUCAAUGCUUAUUUGGUUGAUGUUGGAGAGGCUGAAGGAGGACAAAAGCCUCUAGAUGAUACUUAUAUUCACAGCCUAAUUAUUGUUGGGCAAUUGGAUUUAUAAGUUCCCCCUGCCGAGGGUAUUCCUUGCUUGUCUUCUUCAUAGUUGUUUUGUUGGUUCAAAUCAUCUGUAGGUGCAAUGUGAUGAAUGUGACGUUCUUGGGUUUGGUUUGUUAAAAGUCCAAAUGAGUAUAUUUUACUUAUUGUUUGUCUUGGAAAAAAGAGCGUUGCUUGCAUACAAAUACGCAUAGACCCUCCUUUGUGAUGCUUUGCUUGUUGUUCGUCUGGGAAAUUAAAUAUUUUGUUCUUUUGCUUGCUUCAAAUUGCUACCUGGGUACGGUUCAUGUAUUGAUUGAUUUAGAAUCUAGAUGUAAACAUUUGCAAUUGAUCUACUGUUGCUUUUGUUCAAUGAGCAACUGAUCUUUUGAAACUCCAUUUUUUUUGUUAAAGUUUUUCCUUUUGUUAACCUUACUUUCAAUUGAUGCAGAGCUUUGGUUGAGUUUCUGGAUAUGAGGUUCACUAUAAUCCCCUCUAUGAAUUACGAGAUGCUCCUAAUUCCUCAAAAACCGAAAAAGAAACAUUGGUUAUUUUAGAAGAAACUGGUCGCUUAUGAUGUUGCAACCUUCCAGAAAUGGGAACCAAAUUGAUACCAUCUCUAUACCCUACAUAUAUAGAUUCUACAUCCCAAAUAGCACAGCUUGCUUUACAAUGCUUCCAAAUGACUCCUAAUGAGCAGCCUUUGAGGACUAAGGUCGUGGAAGAACUGGAAUCUGUAGACAUUGGCAUCGCUAAUAGAAUAUAAUGGGAUAGUUAAAUUCACUUAUUAUGUCAUUCUUACUUCAUGUGAUGUAAGUCAAAGUUUGUUGUUCCAUACUUUUCCAUUUUUCCGAGGAAUAAUCCUGGGCUUUGAAUGUUCAUUUCUAUUGUACCCAGCAGUUACUAGGAGUUGUCUUCUCUUGUAAGUUCUUUGGAAUAUCCAUGACAUGUAUAUUAAUACAUGCACUGCUUUGUGAAUUAAGA